rnacentral:rRNA from 1 species
GUUGAACGCUGGCGGCAUGCCUUACACAUGCAAGUCGAACGGCAGCGCGGACUUCGGUCUGGCGGCGAGUGGCGAACGGGUGAGUAAUGUAUCGGAACGUACCAUUCAGUGGGGGAUAACGCAGCGAAAGUUGCGCUAAUACCGCAUAUUCUGCGCGCAGGAAAGCAGGGGAUCGCAAGACCUUGCGCUGAUUGAGCGGCCGAUAUCAGAUUAGCUAGUUGGUGAGGUAAAGGCUCACCAAGGCGACGAUCUGUAGCGGGUCUGAGAGGAUGAUCCGCCACACUGGAACUGAGACACGGUCCAGACUCCUACGGGAGGCAGCAGUGGGGAAUUUUGGACAAUGGGCGCAAGCCUGAUCCAGCCAUGCCGCGUGAGUGAAGAAGGCCUUCGGGUUGUAAAGCUCUUUCGGCCGGGAAGAAAUCGUAUGGGUUAAUACCCUGUGCGGAUGACGGUACCGGCAUAAGAAGCACCGGCUAACUACGUGCCAGCCGCCGCUGUAACAC